GACAGAGGGUGCAAACGUUGUUCGGAAUUACUGGGCGUAAAGCGAGUGUAGGCGGUCCUAUAAGUCGGGUGUGAAAGCCCUGGGCUCAACCCAGGAAGUGCACUCGAAACUGCCGGGCUAGAGUAUCGGAGAGGUUGGUGGAAUUCUCGGUGUAGAGGUGAAAUUCGUAGAUAUCGAGAGGAACACCGGUGGCGAAGGCGGCCAACUGGACGAAUACUGACGCUGAGACUCGAAAGCGUGGGGAGCAAACAGG
rnacentral:rRNA from 1 species